GACCGGGUCCUGCGCGGCAGGACCUCCGAACCGUGUCAGGACCGGAAGGUAGCAGCACUAAGGGGUAUAUCCUGGGUGCCGCAGGGGUGCCUGGCCUGA
rnacentral:SRP_RNA from 2 species